rnacentral:rRNA from 1 species
CCUACGGGUGGCAGCAGUGAGGAAUAUUGGUCAAUGGGCGGGAGCCUGAACCAGCCAAGUCGCGUGAGGGACGACGGUCCUAUGGAUUGUAAACCUCUUUUGUCGGGGAACAAAGGCGCCCACGGGUGGGCGGAUGAGUGUACCCGAAGAAAAAGCAUCGGCUAACUCCGUGCCAGCAGCCGCGGUAAUACGGAGGAUGCGAGCGUUAUCCGGAUUUAUUGGGUUUAAAGGGUGCGUAGGCGGGCUUUUAAGUCAGCGGUAAAAAUUCGGGGCUCAACCCCGUCCGGCCGUUGAAACUGGGGGCCUUGAGUGGGCGAGAAGAAGGCGGAAUGCGUGGUGUAGCGGUGAAAUGCAUAGAUAUCACGCAGAACCCCGAUUGCGAAGGCAGCCUUCCGGCGCCCUACUGACGCUGAGGCACGAAAGUGCGGGGAUCGAACAGGAUUAGAUACCCUAGUAGUC